GUGCCAGCAGCCGCGGUAAUACGGAGGAUGCAAGCGUUAUCCGGAUUCACUAGGUUUAAAGGGUGCGUAGNCGGAAUAAUAAGUCAGUGGUGAAAUCUUGCGGCUCAACCGUAAAAUUGCCAUUGAUACUGUUAUUCUUGAGUAUGGUUGAGGUAGGCGGAAUGAGUAAUGUAGCGGUGAAAUGCUUAGAUAUUACUCAGAACACCGAUUGCGUAGGCAGCUUACCAAGCCAUCACUGACGCUGAGGCACGAAAGCGUGGGUAGCAAACAGGAUUAGAUACCCUGGUAGUCCACGCCGUAAACGUUGAUUACUCGUUGUUGGCAAUACACCGUCAGCGACUGAGCAAAAGCAUUAAGUAAUCCACCUGGGGAGUACGUCAGCAAUGAUGAAACUCAAAGGAAUUGACGGGGGCCCGCACAAGCGGAGGAACAUGUGGUUUAAUUCGAUGAUACGCGAGGAACCUUACCUGGGCUUAAAUGUUUAGUGAUCGACCGGGAGACCGGUUUUUCCUUCGGGACACUUUACAAGGUGCUGCAUGGUUGUCGUCAGCUCGUGCCGUGAGGUGUCGGGUUAAGUCCCAUAACGAGCGCAACCCCUAUCGCCAGUUGCCAGCACAUAAUGGUGGGAACUCUGGUGAAACUGCCGGUGCAAACCGUGAGGAAGGUGGGGAUGACGUCAAAUCAGCACGGCCCUUAUGUCCAGGGCUACACACGUGUUACAAUGGUCGGUACAACAGGAUGCCAAUCCGCAAGGAUGAGCUAAUCCCAAAAGCCGAUCUUAGUUCGGAUCGGAGUCUGCAAUUCGACUCCGUGAAGUUGGAUUCGCUAGUAAUCGCAGAUCAGCCAUGCUGCGGUGAAUACGUUCCCGGGCCUUGUACACACCGCCCGUCAAGCCAUGGAAGCCGGGGGUGCACUGAAGUCCGUAACCGUAAGGAGCGGCACUAGGGUAAAACCGGUAACUGGGGCUAAGUCG
rnacentral:rRNA from 1 species